rnacentral:rRNA from 1 species
AUUGAACGCUGGCGGCAUGCCUUACACAUGCAAGUCGAACGGUAACAGGGAGCUUGCUCCGCUGACGAGUGGCGAACGGGUGAGUAAUGUAUCGGAACGUACCAUUCAGUGGGGGAUAACGUAGCGAAAGUUACGCUAAUACCGCAUAUUCUGUGAGCAGGAAAGCAGGGGAUCGCAAGACCUUGCGCUGAUUGAGCGGCCGAUAUCAGAUUAGCUAGUUGGUGAGGUAAAGGCUCGCCAAGGCGACGAUCUGUAGCGGGUCUGAGAGGAUGAUCCGCCACACUGGAACUGAGACACGGUCCAGACUCCUACGGGAGGCAGCAGUGGGGAAUUUUGGACAAUGGGGGCAACCCUGAUCCAGCCAUGCCGCGUGAGUGAAGAAGGCCUUCGGGUUGUAAAGCUCUUUCGGCCGGGAAAAAAUCGCAUCAGUUAAUACCUGGUGUGGAUGAUGGUACCGGAAUAAGAAGCACCGGCUAACUACGUG